UACGAACCGUCCAAACGUUAUUCGGAAUUAUUGGGCUUAAAGGGUGCGUAGGCGGCGCUUUAAGUCGGGUGUGAAAUCCUUCGGCUCAACCGAAGAAUUGCGCCCGAUACUGGGGUGCUAGAGGGAGACAGGGGUGAGCGGAACUGAUGGUGGAGCGGUGAAAUGCGUUGAUAUCAUCAGGAACGCCGGUGGCGAAAGCGGCUCACUGGGUCUCUUCUGACGCUGAGGCACGAAAGCCAGGGUAGCGAACGGG
rnacentral:rRNA from 1 species